UCCCAACCAGCGCCUCUCUCCUUCCCCGUCUGGAAUGACAGCAGCAGAGCGACGCAACAGAGCAUGUGGCGUCCGACGGUGGUUCCCGGUGAGGCAGCCUCCAAUCGUGACCUUCCUUUUCCCCUUCUCCUUUCCGGCGGUGGCAAUGAAGCGUAGCAGCGGUGAACAGGGAGUGUAGGUUACUUAUUGUGGACUAGCUUUUGAGUUGAGCCUAGAAUUGGAUGUUGCUUUGGAGCUUAGCUUGAGGAUCUGGACUUAUGGCUAGUUGAGAGCGUGUCGUAGAACUUGUAAGCCCUGAGAAAUGUUCAUGUCAUAGUUUGUGUAGUUUGGACUUGGAUUGUCUUGUAGUUAGUUGUGAUUUGAAUAAAGGAAUAUUGUAAUGGAAGUUGUAAAUAGAAACCUUUGUAGCCUGUGCGUUUGGGCUUAGUUGUGACCCAAGCGUGGCAUAACAUCCCGUAAUUUGGUUUUUUUGAGUUUGCUUCCGCAAUUGAAAUCUUUUAGAAAUCUAUAUUAUAUC